rnacentral:pre_miRNA from 1 species
AAAAAGGUAAAACCUGGGUUUCCGUGCCAACGUUUGACUGUUCGUCUUAUAUGAAAUUUUGUUAUAAUAAGUAUUUUCAUUGUUGUUAGAUGAUAAAACAUGAUUAAUACUUUAUGCGUGAUUUAUUUUUUUAAUUUUUUUCAUAUUUUUUUCAAAUAAGACGGACGGUCAAACGUUGGACACGGAAACCAGGGUUUGUUUUUGGA